GUCCCCAUAGUUUAACCGGAUAAAACAAGAGCCUCCUAAGCUUUAGAUCUGCGUUCGAGUCGCGGUGGGGAUGCCA
rnacentral:tRNA from 1 species